CGGAAUGAGAGCAAGUCUUGGAAAGAAACAGAAAGAUGGAAGUGUGGAGGCGGGAAAGAUCGAGAGAAGCGAGGACAUAACGACCAUAGAAAAAUACGUGUGUGUGUGUGUGUGUUUGCUUUAUUGCAGUGGCCCCACCUACCCCUCCAUCCUGUUAAGUAGGCACAGUCCUAAGGAGGAGGGGUAGGAUCCCCUCCCUCAGCCAUGACACACACACACACACACACACAUGCGCGCACACACCCUCUCUCUGGCUCAUACACACACACUCUGCUCCGUGAGGGAGCAGUCGCUGAAGAGCUCUGGAUAGACCAUGCGUGCUUCUGCAGGUGUCCCACCCUUCUCCCACCACAUGGAUGCUUCAGAAGUGUACUCUGAAGGGAGAAAGAAACAGCGGGAGGAAGCAGCGGAUGAAAGAAGACAUCCACAAAGAUCCCGCGUCCGACUCCAAACGUGGAAGUCGUAGUUACAUGUGCUUGUUGGGGUCAAAGGCUGAAGGCUGGUGAGUGGUGACCUUAGGGAGAGGCCUGGGUGCGAUCUGACCCCUGAGUGGAUGUGCGGGCUGACUCUGGAGGAUGCAGCGCAACAAAGGGCGGCACGUGCCUCGUCGUCGUCACCAUGGAGGCCAAAUUGUUUACCAAAGUGGGCUCAAAAACGUCUGCCGAUGUGAAAUGGUGAUCAAAGAGGAUUUCACGCUUUAGCUUAAGUGAAGAACAGGACUGAGGGGAAUAUGCUUCCAUCUUCUCUUUCAUCAGUCUUGGACACCAUCUUCUAUUAAUCUUGCAAAAAAAAAUACUUUGAGUAAUCAAGGUCUUUACUUCAAUGUCUCUGGUGAAUAUGUUAUCUAAAUAGCUUUCUAAAUAAAAUAAACUUUCAGUGAAGAGUCAAGC
ensembl:lncRNA